GGGGAAAUAGCUCAGUUGGUUAGAGUGCUGGUCUGUCAUGCCAGAAGUCGUGGGUUCGAACCCCGUUUUCCCCG
rfam:Triticum urartu cultivar G1812 contig479208, whole genome shotgun sequence.